rnacentral:tRNA from 2 species
AUCUUUCUAGUAUAAAAUAGUAUAAGUGACUUCCAAUCACACGGCCUUGGUUAAAAUCCAAGGAAAGAUA